AUUGAACGCUGGCGGCAGGCUUAACACAUGCAAGUCGAGCGGUAGAAAGUAGCUUGCUACUUUUGAGAGCGGCGGACGGGUGAGUAAUGCGUGGGAAUCUACCUGGUAGUGGGGGACAACUUGUGGAAACGCAAGCUAAUACCGCAUACGACCUAAGGGUGAAAGUGGGGGACCUUCGGGCCUCACGCUAUCGGAUGAGCCUGCGUAGGAUUAGCUUGUUGGUGAGGUAAAGGCUCACCAAGGCGACGAUCCUUAGCUGGUCUGAGAGGAUGAUCAGCCACACUGGAACUGAGACACGGUCCAGACUCCUACGGGAGGCAGCAGUGGGGAAUAUUGCGCAAUGGGCGAAAGCCUGACGCAGCCAUGCCGCGUGUGUGAAGAAGGCCUUGG
rnacentral:rRNA from 1 species